GUAAACGGCGGCCGUAACUAUAACGGUCCUAAGGUAGCGAAAUUCCUUGUCAGGUAAGUUCUGACCCGCAUGAAAGGCGUAAUGAUUUGGGCACUGUCUCAACAGCCCGCCCGGCGAAAUUGUAGUACCGGUGAAGAUGCCGGUUACCCGCGACAAGACGGAAAGACCCCAUGGAGCUUUACUGUAGCCUAAUAUUGGGUUUCGAUGUUGCAUGCACAGGAUAGAUGGGACACUAGGAAACAAUCGCUUUGGCGGUUGCGGAGUGGCCGUUGGGAUACCAUCCUUGCGAUAUUGGAAUUCUAACCUGCGGCUCUGAAUCGAGUCGGGGGACAUUGUUAGGUGGGCAGUUUGACUGGGGCGGUCGCCUCCUAAAAAGUAACGGAGGCGUUCAAAGGUUCGCUCAGCUUGAACGGAAAUCAAGCAAAAGAGUGCAAACGCAGAAGCGAGCCUAACUGCGAGACUGACGGGUCGAGCAGUAACGAAAGUUGGAGUUAGUGAUCCGGUGGUAUGUGAGUGGAAAUGCCAUCGCUCAACGGAUAAAAGUUACCCUGGGGAUAACAGGCUGAUCUCCCCCAAGAGUCCACAUCGACGGGGAGGUUUGGCACCUCGAUGUCGGCUCAUCGCAUCCUGGGGCUGAAGUAGGUCCCAAGGGUUGGGCUGUUCGCCCAUUAAAGCGGUACGCGAGCUGGGUUCAGAACGUCGUGAGACAGUUCGGUCCCUAUCUGUCGUGGGCGCAGGAUAUUUGAUGGGAGCUGUCCCUAGUACGAGAGGACCGGGACGGACGUACCUCUGGCGCACCAGUUGUUCCGCCAGGAGCAUAGCUGGGCAACUACGUACGGAUCGGAUAAACGCUGAAAGCAUCUAAGCGUGAAGCCGACCCAAAGAUAAGAUAUCCCAUUGUUUUAAACAAGUAAGACCCCUUGAAGACUACAAGGUUGAUAGGCACGAUGUGUAAGUGGAGCGAUCCAUUCAGCAAGCGUGUACUAAUAGGUCGAGGGCUUGACCAC
rnacentral:rRNA from 1 species